rnacentral:rRNA from 1 species
UACGUAGGGUGCAAGCGUUGUCCGGAAUUAUUGGGCGUAAAGAGCUUGUAGGCGGUUUGUCGCGUCUGCUGUGAAAUUUCGGGGCUCAACCCCGAACUUGCAGUGGGUACGGGCAGACUAGAGUGUGGUAGGGGAGACUGGAAUUCCUGGUGUAGCGGUGAAAUGCGCAGAUAUCAGGAGGAACACCGAUGGCGAAGGGCAGGUCUCUGGGCCACUACUGACGCUGAGAAGCGAAAGCAUGGGGAGCGAACAGG